UACGGAGGAUCCGAGCGUUAUUCGGAUUUAUUGGGUUUAAAGGGAGCGUAGGUGGAUUGUUAAGUCAGUUGUGAAAGUUUGCGGCUCAACCGUAAAAUUGCAGUUGAAACUGGCAGUCUUGAGUACAGUAGAGGUGGGCGGAAUUCGUGGUGUAGCGGUGAAAUGCUUAGAUAUCACGAAGAACUCCGAUUGCGAAGGCAGCUCACUGGACUGCAACUGACACUGAGGCUCGAAAGUGUGGGUAUCAAACAGG
rnacentral:rRNA from 1 species